rnacentral:rRNA from 1 species
AAGUGAAGAAGCGCAUACGGUGGAUGCCUUGGCAGUCAGAGGCGAUGAAAGACGUGGUAGCCUGCGAAAAGCUUCGGGGAGUCGGCAAACAGACUUUGAUCCGGAGAUGUCUGAAUGGGGGAACCCAGCCAUCAUAAGAUGGUUAUCUUGUACUGAAUACAUAGGUGCAAGAGGCGAACCAGGGGAACUGAAACAUCUAAGUACCCUGAGGAAAAGAAAUCAACC